rnacentral:rRNA from 1 species
UACGUAGGGUGCAAGCGUUGUCCGGAAUUAUUGGGCGUAAAGAGCUCGUAGGCGGUUUGUCGCGUCUGCUGUGAAAACUCGGGGCUUAACCCCGGGCCUGCAGUGGGUACGGGCAGACUAGAGUGCGGUAGGGGAGACUGGAAUUCCUGGUGUAGCGGUGAAAUGCGCAGAUAUCAGGAGGAACACCGGUGGCGAAGGCGGCUUUCUGGACGGUAACUGACGCUGAGACGCGAAAGCGUGGGGAGCAAACAGG